rnacentral:rRNA from 1 species
UACGUAGGGUGCGAGCGUUAAUCGGAAUUACUGGGCGUAAAGCGUGCGCAGGCGGUGAUGUAAGACCGAUGUGAAAUCCCCGGGCUUAACCUGGGAACUGCAUUGGUGACUGCAUUGCUGGAGUAUGGCAGAGGGGGGGUGGAAUUCCACGUGUAGCAGUGAAAUGCGUAGAGAUGCGGAGGAACACCGAUGGCGAAGGCAGCCCCCUGGGCUAGCACUGACGCCUCAGGCACGAAAGCGUGGGGAGCAAACAGG